UUCGUUACAAUCGUGAUUUCUUAUUGAGAAAUAGUAAUAAUGUUUGCGUUCGUUCGGUUUACUGAUGAGAUAUAUUAUAUAUGUAACUCCAAAAAUGUGAUGAAAUAUGAAAACGCAUAUGUAGCAAAAUAUAAAUGUGACAGAAGACUUGUGAUAUUUUGGCACAAUAUAAUACGAAACUUCGAUGUACUUAAUACUAUUAAAAAAAUCACUUGUUGCAAACAUACCUACAGUUAAGUUACAAGAUAUUAAAUCGAUCAUGCGUUCUAAUGUAUUGGAUGAAAAUGAAGGGAAUUCAAGGAAUUUUGUAACUGCAAUUGAAGAAAUAUGAGCUGAUGCAUUGUCAUGAUGAAACCAAAAGUUGAUUACUUUACACGACAAAAACAAAGAAUCUAAUGAACAUAUCUAUCUGAAAUUUUAACAAUAUCACAUGAUCCUGUGGAGGAUCAAACUUGUUUAAAAUUAUAGCAGCAUAAUAUUUGUGGCAUUGUUUCUGUGUCAGGCCGAGAAUUUUUCAGACUAUCGUUGGAAUAAA